AGGCUAAAUGUUAAGAUGGGACUGAA
rnacentral:piRNA from 1 species